AAAAAUAUUAUUUAGGAAUAAAAUGUAGGCAAAUGCCUACUGGACUUGCAACUCUCUCUAUUGCACGAUAUGGAGAAGGCAGCGAAGCAGCGUGAAA